GACGAACGCUGGCGGCGUGCUUAACACAUGCAAGUCGAACGGAAAGGCCCUGCUUUUGUGGGGUGCUCGAGUGGCGAACGGGUGAGUAACACGUGAGUAACCUGCCCUUGACUUUGGGAUAACUUCAGGAAACUGGGGCUAAUACCGGAUAGGAGCUCCUGCCGCAUGGUGGGGAUUGGAAAGUUUCGGCGGUUGGGGAUGGACUCGCGGCUUAUCAGCUUGUUGGUGGGGUAGUGGCUUACCAAGGCUUUGACGGGUAGCCGGCCUGAGAGGGUGACCGGCCACAUUGGGACUGAGAUACGGCCCAGACUCCUACGGGAGGCAGCAGUGGGGAAGAUUGCACAAUGGGCGGAAGCCUGAUGCAGCAACGCCGCGUGCGGGAUGACGGCCUUCGGAUUGUAAACCGCUUUCGCCUGUGACGAAGCGUGAGUGACGGUAAGGGGUAAAGAAGCACCGGCUAACUACGUGC
rnacentral:rRNA from 1 species